rnacentral:lncRNA from 1 species
UUCUUCCGGCAGAAUCUUUGCCACUUAAACUGACGUUUCUCCAACUCGAGGGCUUCAGCUUGGAUGCCAAUCUUUUCCUCUUCUAGUUGAAGCAUCCGUUUCUUAAUCCACAUUUUCUGUUCCCACUUCGAUUUCAUAGGGUCUUGGAAAAAUUCAUUAGCAUCCGCUUCUUAAUCCACAUUUUCUGUUCCCACUUUGAUUUCGUAGGGUCUUGAAAAAAUUCAUUAAUUUCAGCAAUAAAAUUAUCAUUCCCACUAGUAUGUGGCAAGAAGUUGCC